CGGGUGGCAGCAGUAGGGAAUCUUCCACAAUGGACGCAAGUCUGAUGGAGCAACGCCGCGUGAGUGAAGAAGGGUUUCGGCUCGUAAAGCUCUGUUGUUAAAGAAGAACGUGGGUGAGAGUAACUGUUCACCCAGUGACGGUAUAACCAGA
rnacentral:rRNA from 1 species